rnacentral:rRNA from 1 species
AACCAACAGGGAUUGCUCUAGUAACGGCGAGUGAAGCAGCAAUAGCUCAAAUUUGAAAUCUGGCGUCUUCGGCGUCCGAGUUGUAAUUUGUAGAGGAUGCUUCUGGGCAGCCACCGACCUAAGUUCCUUGGAACAGGACGUCACAGAGGGUGAGAAUCCCGUAUGCGGUCGGAAAGGCACCCUACACGUAGCUCCUUCGACGAGUCGAGUUGUUUGGGAAUGCAGCUCUAAAUGGGAGGUAAAUUUCUUCUAAAGCUAAAUAUUGGCCAGAGACCGAUAGCGCACAAGUAGAGUGAUCGAAAGAUGAAAAGCACUUUGGAAAGAGAGUUAAAAAGCACCGUGAAAUUGUUGAAAGGGAAGGGAUUGCAACCAGACUUGCUCGCGGUGUUCCGCCGGUCUUCUGACCGGUUCACUCGCCGCGUUGCAGGCCAGCAUCGUCUGGUGCCGCUGGAUAAGACUGGAGGAAUGUAGCUCCCUCGGGAGUGUUAUAGCCUCUAGUGAUGCAGCGAGCGCCGGGCGAGGUCCGCGCUUCGGCUAGGAUGCUGGCGUAAUGGUCGUAAUCCGCCCGUCUUUAAACACGAAC